rnacentral:tRNA from 1 species
UAUAGGAUGCCUGAACUAAGGGUUAUUUUGAUAGAAUAAUUAUGCAUUAUUGCUUCUAUAG